rnacentral:rRNA from 1 species
GCCGUUGGGGAUCUUGAAUCCUUAGUGGCGCAGCUAACGCACUAAGUUGACCGCCUGGGGAGUACGGCCGCAAGGUUAAAACUCAAAUGAAUUGACGGGGGCCCGCACAAGCGGUGGAGCAUGUGGUUUAAUUCGACGCAACGCGAAGAACCUUACCUGGCCUUGACAUCCUGCGAACUUUCUAGAGAUAGAUUGGUGCCUUCGGGAACGCAGUGACAGGUGCUGCAUGGCCGUCGUCAGCUCGUGUCGUGAGAUGUUGGGUUAAGUCCCGUAACGAGCGCAACCCCUAUCCCUAGUUGCUAGCAGUUCGGCUGAGAACUCUAGGGAGACUGCCGGUGACAAACCGGAGGAAGGUGGGGAUGACGUCAGGUCAUCAUGGCCCUUACGGCCAGGGCUACACACGUGCUACAAUGGCGCGCACAGAGGGCUGCAAACUCGCGAGGGUAAGCCAAUCUCUUAAAACGCGUCGUAGUCCGGAUCGCAGUCUGCAACUCGACUGCGUGAAGUCGGAAUCGCUAGUAAUCGCGAAUCAGAAUGUCGCGGUGAAUACGUUCCCGGGCCUUGUACACACCGCCCGUCACACCAUGGGAGUGGAUUGCACCAGAAGUGGUUAGUCUAAC